rnacentral:rRNA from 1 species
AGAGUUUGAUCCUGGCUCAGGACGAACGCUGGCGGCGUUAACACAUGCAAGUCGAACGGAAAGGUCUCUUCGGAGAUACUCGAGUGGCGAACGGGUGAGUAACACGUGGGUGAUCUGCCCUGCACUUCGGGAUAAGCUUGGGAAACUGGGUCUAAUACCGGAUAGGACCAUGGCCUGCAUGGGUUGUGGUGGAAAGCUUUUGCGGUGUGGGAUGGGCCCGCGGCCUAUCAGCUUGUUGGUGGGGUGAUGGCCUACCAAGGCGACGACGGGUAGCCGGCCUGAGAGGGUGUCCGGCCACACUGGGACUGAGAUACGGCCCAGACUCCUACGGGAGGCAGCAGUGGGGAAUAUUGCACAAUGGGCGCAAGCCUGAUGCAGCGACGCCGCGUGGGGGAUGACGGCCUUCGGGUUGUAAACCUCUUUCCCAUCGGCGAAGCCCCGGGUUUUUGUCUGGGGUGACGGUAGGUGGAGAAGAAGCACCGGCCAACUACGUGCCAGCAGCCGCGGUAAUACGUAGGGUGCGAGCGUUGUCCGGAAUUACUGGGCGUAAAGAGCUCGUAGGUGGUUUGUCGCGUUGUCCGUGAAAUUCCCUGGCUUAACUGGGGGCGUGCGGGCGAUACGGGCAGACUGGAGUACUGCAGGGGAGACUGGAAUUCCUGGUGUAGCGGUGGAAUGCGCAGAUAUCAGGAGGAACACCGGUGGCGAAGGCGGGUCUCUGGGCAGUAACUGACGCUGAGGAGCGAAAGCGUGGGGAGCGAACAGGAUUAGAUACCCUGUAGUCC